GACGAACGCUGGCGGCGUGCUUAACACAUGCAAGUCGAACGGAAAGGCCCUGCUUUUGUGGGGUGCUCGAGUGGCGAACGGGUGAGUAACACGUGAGUAACCUGCCCUUGACUUUGGGAUAACUUCAGGAAACUGGGGCUAAUACCGGAUAGGAGCUCCUGCUGCAUGGUGGGGGUUGGAAAGUUUCGGCGGUUGGGGAUGGACUCGCGGCUUAUCAGCUUGUUGGUGGGGUAGUGGCUUACCAAGGCUUUGACGGGUAGCCGGCCUGAGAGGGUGACCGGCCACAUGGGGCCUGAGAUACGGCCCAGACUCCUACGGGAGGCAGCAGUGGGGAAUAUUGCACAAGGGGCGGAAGCCUGAUGCAGCAACGCCGCGUGCGGGAUGACGGCCUUCGGGUGGUAAACCGCUUUCGCCUGUGACGAAGCGUGAGUGACGGUAAUGGGUAAAGAAGCACCGGCUAACUACGU
rnacentral:rRNA from 1 species